UCUCUGACUGGCCCAGAUUCUGACAAAUGGCAGGCCAGCUGGUUACUUUGGAUUUUGUUUUUUAUAAGUAAAUCUACAAGGCAAUAGUCCCUUCAAAUCAUGCGUCAGAGUCUGGAGCCAGAGAGGCCAGUCAAGGUACAGGAGUUGGAUCUCCUCCUCGUGCCCACCAGUGAAGUCUGGUGAUGAGGAGGACUGCAGGAGUUUAUUUCCAUUGCCCAAUUCCCAGAAGGUUGGACGUCUACCAGAUGUUUGCUGUCCUCCUCCACACCAAACCCUGACCCAUGAAGAGGUUCCCGUCAGAUCUCCUCCUCCAUCCAUCUCCUUUGCACCGGCAUCUCCUCUGGAUUACAUCCAUUCAACGGCCGGGUGUACACUUGGAUUGCCCUCAGAUACUUGAAGCCGGCCAGUUCCUGUGCAGAGAAUUACUGGGUGGGUUCGGGAGUAACUCAAUGACCCAGUUAUGCAACAGAGGGCUAGUGGAAUUCCUAAUGACUGCUGAGUGCCAACGAAAUUCCUUGGAACAGCCAAUAUGUGCCGAAUGUCAGUUUUCACACACACAGAUACACACACACACACACACACUGAAAAACUACCAAAGUAACCUCUUGUCUGCUUAAUCUAUGAGACCCGUUCUGACCCACAUAAAGAAAAUCCCUCCAAGUCCUUCGACUCCACAGAAGAUUAACCUCUUGCCCAGUUUUUCUCAGGAAAAGAGCGGGACAAUUUGCUCAAAUUGCUUUAGUCGGGGUCAAAUCCAGCGGUGUGCGCCGCCGAUCCAUUGUCUUUAGGGGUGGUUGCAUAAACAGAUUAGGGUAGUUGGUUUUAGGCUUGAGGGUCACUGGGGCCCGAUUGGCCCUUUAGCAUUACAAUCUAAGAUCUAAAUCGCCUGAGGCGGGUUCCCAAACACAGAGAUUCCUGAAUUUUUUGGGGUCAUCUGGGAGCAAGCGAAGUGUAGCAUUUUAAGCCAUUAAUGGUCCUAUGAUUAGAAAGUCAUGGUGGAAUGGCUGAAAACAUGCUAUUCUAUGACACCAUGAAGUUAGAAGCUGAAAUGAAGUCCUUGAACAACAAUGAACCUGUUGCCUUAGGAAUGAGAGAGAUUUGGACACAUCAUACGGUCUGUGGUAACAAGCCAAUAGCUGGGGCAGCUUCUUCCAAGUGACUUGCAACAGUCUUCAUCUGGCCUGUCUUUGAACUGAUUUGCAAAGUGUGCAAUAUGUCAUGAUAAUAACUCAAUGUGCUUUAUACAAUACCUUUUAAUACAUGAGUUCUGAGAUUUUCAAA